GGCAGGGGCUCUUGAAGUCUCACCCCAUAUGAGGAAAAUUGACAACUGAAGAUGUCAAGGGAGGGAUAGUUAUCUUACUUCAAUGAUGAAAGCCAUGAAGAGCAAGCUACCCAUUCUCCGAAGAUGGUUCCAUGACCAUGUACAUGCAGGAAGCAUGAAAUGACUCAGUAUGUAUUAAAGAAAAGGAGAGAGCUCAUGAAUUUGCAUGAGAAAAAAUAUUGAUGGGAAAUGAGGACAUGGAGGUGUGAAAAUGAUGUUAUAAUAUUGGAAACUACAAAAAGACCUUCUCGUUUGAUAUAUGCACAUAAGAAUGUUCUACGCCAUUGAAAGGUGAAUUGCUACCAGAAGCCAGUUUUCCUUUAAAACUUUAAACAUUAUGUCUUCUUCUCACAUAAUAAUCUGUAUGAGUCAAAAAGCCACAGAGAGUGCCGUCUAUGAAAAGAAACACCAGUUAGAAAGAAGUGAAGUUCAUGUUUUGAAGAAAGAGACACGUUAGCUGAGGGAGUUAGGACUUCACUGCUCAGCUCUUCUGCAAAAGAAAAGAAUCUGAAGUGAGCUCUUAUAUUUCAAAGUGUUCAAUGGUCAGAAUUAACUGCCAGAAAUAUUGACAAAUUUGACCCUUUUCAAUC